ACUGGAGAUCUCUGCCUACCUGGGGCCUUCCAAAGCUUUGAUCUUGUGCUGGGCCAGAGAGUGAACUGCAGCCCAGCAAGUAGAGCAUCCAUGAGGCAGGCUUCUUGGUCCCAGGUGCAUCCUGGAUUGCACUACAGCCUGUGGUUAUUGCAUUUAUAUGAGAAGCUGAAAUGACCUUCGAGUUUUUGUGUCAGCUCAGGCAAAGGAUGGAUUUGUGCCCUGUAUGCAGCCUUCAGUGAUUAUUAUUAUCUCUGCUUCAUCAGCUAUCAGAAACAGCAAAGAGGAAUUAAGAGAGCUGUUAACACCACUAGUGGAGUAGCAGACCGGCACCAAGGGCAGAGGGCUGAGAAUAACAUGCCUUCCAGAAUCUGUCCUGUUGACCAGGAUUUCUCCCUCCUACAGAAUUCCCAUAGAGAUCAAAGAUAGGGAGCUGGCAGCAUGAGGAAAUCCUGGAUUCCUUGGAUGUCGCUCCAGUAAAGUUAAUAAGACUAUAAAUAGCAUAUAAAAACCAGGAGACUGGAAUUCUUACAGUUCUCCCAAAGAUAGAGCUAUCAGUAGACUUAUAAAGAAAUGCCAACAAAUGAUUGUUGUUCUAUUUCUCAAAAAAGGUUGCAUACAACAAAACCUGUGAAUAAUUCUGUUUCUCCAUGAAGGUAGCUUACAGCAAAACCUCAUAUGUUACACUGUUUGAGAGAAAGGCAACAGUGACAGAACAGAUCAAUCACAAGUGGUUGCUGGGAAGAGGGAAUGUAAAAUCGUGCCCAGGCUUGUACAAAUGCUGUCUUAAGAGGGAUGUUCUUGGGAGAGAAACAAUGUGACAGCAAGCCCUGGUUAGACACAGCUGUGCAGUCCUCAUUGGGAAGAAAGGGGCUCAGAGAGCAAGUGGGGAGAUGAUUCACAGGUGUUUUGAAUAGUGACUGUAAAAUACCUCAGCAUUGCACCUGAUAAAAAUGGCACUGACCUUUAUAGAAAGCCAUUCACAGAGGAAAUGUGAGCAGAUAAGCACCGUUCUGGAUAUUAUUUAUGUAUUAUUUAUGUGCUCAACCUACAAUAUACUUGCUGAGAUAGACUAGUGAUGCUACUAAAGGAACUCAGGCCCUAUCAGCAAUUGCAAGUGACCUGAACUCUUCAGGGAAAUGUCUGGUAAAAUGUCUGCGCAGUCUCUCACGUUCUACUUUGGUGCUAAUAAACUGUUAACCAGAAUGAUUUUAUACUGCAUCUCUGAACUCUGUAAAUACCACCUGCAUAUUUGUCAGUAACUUUUAUGCCUAGCUUGUUUUUGCAUAUUUUUAUAUUAAAGGUUGUGCUUAUCUC
ensembl:lncRNA